rnacentral:rRNA from 1 species
UCGGGAAUUUUGGGCAAUGGGCGCAAGCCUGAUCCAGCCAUGCCGCGUGGAUGAUGAAGGCCUUAGGGUUGUAAAAUCCUUUCGUGGGGGACGAUAAUGACGGUACCCCAAGAAGAAGCUCCGGCUAACUUCGUGCCAGCAGCCGCGGUAAUACGAAGGGGGCUAGCGUUGUUCGGAUUUACUGGGCGUAAAGCGCGUGUAGGCGGGUCGUUAAGUUGGGGGUGAAAUCCCGAGGCUCAACCUCGGAACUGCCUUCAAAACUGGCGACCUGGACUCAAGCAGAGGCAAGUGGAAUUGCGAGUGUAGAGGUGAAAUUCGUAGAUAUUCGCAGGAACACCAGUGGCGAAGGCGACUUGCUGGGCUUGUAGUGACGCUGAGACGCGAAAGCGUGGGGAGCAAACAGGAUUAGAUACCCGCGUAGUCCCUGAGCGGGCUGGCAAGGCGCAU